GACGAUUGCCCAUUGCUCGAACCACUCAUAAAAUUUGACAACGGGGCGUACUGGCCAAAAUUUGCUCAUAUUCCUGAAAUAUAUACCUGUAUAUCAAUAGGUGACCACGAAUGCCUGUGCUGAUUAAUAAAAACCAAGCUCCCACAGAUUUUUUUGUUAUCAUUGCAGGAGUUCAAUCAAUUUGCAGAAUCAUUUGGAAGGACGUGAAUUCUCGGAAAAACAAAAUAUCUAAUGCACAAUGAGGUAUACUUUGCUUAUUCCUUGUAAGAAAACUGCAUCAAACUUGGAAAGCAAAAAAAAGAAAAGUUGAAAGAAGAUUUUCAAACACAGUUCUUUUUUUCAUCAAGUAGCUUUAUUCGUUGAUCUUCGACGAUUCAACAACAUGACAUUUGAUUGGUAAUACAAAUGAUUGAUGAAUGUUGACUUGAAAAUCAACAUUGAUUUGCAUUGGAAAUAAAGUUAAAAGUUAUGAUA